GCCCUCGUUGAUUAAAUGGUAAAUCGCCCCACCACCCAUACAAAGGUUUGAAUACUGUUGAGUGGGAGACAGAGGUUCGACUCCUCUCGACGGCA